CAUCCCGACUUACCAACCCGAUGCAAACUGCGAAUACCGGAGAAUGUUAUCACGGGAGACACACGGCGGGUGCUAACGUCCGUCGUGAAGAGGGAAACAACCCAGACCGCCAGCUAAGGUCCCAAAGUCAUGGUUAAGUGGGAAACGAUGUGGGAAGGCCCAGACAGCCAGGAUGUUGGCUUAGAAGCAGCCAUCAUUUAAAGAAAGCGUAAUAGCUCACUGGUCGAGUCGGCCUGCGCGGAAGAUGUAACGGGGCUAAACCAUGCACCGAAGCUGCGGCAGCGACACUAUGUGUUGUUGGGUAGGGGAGCGUUCUGUAAGCCUGCGAAGGUGUCUCGUGAGGGAUGCUGGAGGUAUCAGAAGUGCGAAUGCUGACAUAAGUAACGAUAAUGCGGGUGAAAAACCCGCACGCCGGAAGACCAAGGGUUCCUGUCCAACGUUAAUCGGGGCAGGGUGAGUCGACCCCUAAGGCGAGGCCGAAAGGCGUAGUCGAUGGGAAACAGGUUAAUAUUCCUGUACUUGGUGUUACUGCGAAGGGGGGACGGAGAAGGCUAUGUUAGCCGGGCGACGGUUGUCCCGGUUUAAGCAUGUAGGCGGAGGUUCCAGGUAAAUCCGGUACCUUAUUAACGCUGAGGUGUGAUGACGAGGCACUACGGUGCUGAAGUAACAAAUGCCCUGCUUCCAGGAAAAGCCUCUAAGCAUCAGGUAACAUCAAAUCGUACCCCAAACCGACACAGGUGGUCAGGUAGAGAAUACCAAGGCGCUUGAGAGAACUCGGGUGAAGGAACUAGGCAAAAUGGUGCCGUAACUUCGGGAGAAGGCACGCUGAUAUGUAGGUGAAGUGGUUUACCCAUGGAGCUGAAAUCAGUCGAAGAUACCAGCUGGCUGCAACUGUUUAUUAAAAACACAGCACUGUGCAAACACGAAAGUGGACGUAUACGGUGUGACGCCUGCCCGGUGCCGGAAGGUUAAUUGAUGGGGUUAUCCGUAAGGAGAAGCUCUUGAUCGAAGCCCCGGUAAACGGCGGCCGUAACUAUAACGGUCCUAAGGUAGCGAAAUUCCUUGUCGGGUAAGUUCCGACCUGCACGAAUGGCGUAAUGAUGGCCAGGCUGUCUCCACCCGAGACUCAGUGAAAUUGAACUCGCUGUGAAGAUGCAGUGUACCCGCGGCAAGACGGAAAGACCCCGUGAACCUUUACUAUAGCUUGACACUGAACACUGGUCCUUGAUGUGCAGGAUAGGUGGGAGGCUUUGAAGCGCGGACGCCAGUUCGUGUGGAGCCAUCCUUGAAAUACCACCCUUUAAUGGCUGGUGUUCUAACGUAGACCCGUGAUCCGGGUUGCGGACAGUGUCUGGUGGGUAGUUUGACUGGGGCGGUCUCCUCCUAAAGAGUAACGGAGGAGCACGAAGGUUAGCUAAUCCUGGUCGGACAUCAGGAGGUUAGUGCAAAGGCAUAAGCUAGCUUGACUGCGAGCGUGACGGCGCGAGCAGGUGCGAAAGCAGGUC
rnacentral:rRNA from 1 species